AUUUAAGUCAUAUAAAUAAUUUUCUUUGGCACCACUACAAUUUUAUUCUUUAGCAUUUAAAUAAGAGAUUCAUAAUAUGAUAUUGCCAAUAUGAUCAAAAUUCAUCCCGUCUG